UUAUUUAAGGUAGAUACUGCUCUAUGAUAAAUUAUAUUAAAUGGCCGCAGUAAACUGACUGUGCUAAGGUAGCAUAAUAAAUUGGCCUUUAAUUGGGGUCUGGAAUGAAUGGACAUAUAUGUAGUUUCUGUCUCAAGUUAUACUUUAUCUAAAUUUCUUAUUAGGUGCAAAUUCCUAUUAUUCAUAAGAAAGACGAGAAGACCCUUAGAAUUUUUAAAAAAAUAUAAACCUGAUUUAUACUUAUUUUUUGUUGGGGCGACAUAUUAUCAAUUAACAUAAUAUAUAAUAAUAAUAUUUACAAGUCUAGCAUAGCUUAGAAAGAAUAAAUUACCUUAGGGAUAACAGCAUAAUAUAAUAUUUAUGUUUAUGACCUCGAUGUUGGACUAGGUAUUGUAAUAACCAGAAGUUAUUAUUAAUUGUUCUGUUCGAACAUAAACA
rnacentral:rRNA from 1 species